AGAUCACUUGAGCCUAGGAGGUACAGGUUACAGUGAGCCAAGAUCACGCCACUGUACUCCAGCCUGGGCAACAGAG
rnacentral:snRNA from 1 species